AUUGAACGCUGGCGGCAUGCCUUACACAUGCAAGUCGAACGGCAGCGCGGGAGCAAUCCUGGUGGCGAGUGGCGAACGGGUGAGUAAAGUAUCGGAACGUGCCCAGUCGUGGGGGAUAACGUAGCGAAAGUUACGCUAAUACCGCAUACGAUCUAUGGAUGAAAGCGGGGGAUCGCAAGACCUCGCGCGAUUGGAGCGGCCGAUAUCAGAUUAGGUAGUUGGUGGGGUAAAGGCUCACCAAGCCGACGAUCUGUAGCUGGUCUGAGAGGACGACCAGCCACACUGGGACUGAGACACGGCCCAGACUCCUACGGGAGGCAGCAGUGGGGAAUUUUGGACAAUGGGCGAAGGCCUGAUCCAGCCAUGCCGCAUGCAGGAUGAAGGCCUUCGGGUUGUAAACUGCUUUUGUACGGAACGAAAAGGUUUGGGCUAAUAAGCUGAGCUCAUGACGGUACCGUAAGAAUAAGCACCGGCUAACUACGUGCCAGCCGCCGCGGUAA
rnacentral:rRNA from 1 species